GUCGUGGGCGGUGGUGGCUCUGGACUUCAUCCGGUGGUCGAUGGAGACC
rnacentral:tRNA from 1 species